GCCCUGGCGGCAGCUACCAUGCAGUCGACGGUAGCACAGAGGAGCUUGCUCCUUGGGUGACGAGUGGCGGACGGGUGAGUAAUGUCUGGGGAUCUGCCCGAUGGAGGGGGAUAACUACUGGAAACGGUAGCUAAUACCGCAUAACGUCGCAAGACCAAAGUGGGGGACCUUCGGGCCUCACACCAUCGGAUGAACCCAGAUGGGAUUAGCUAGUAGGUGGGGUAAUGGCUCACCUAGGCGACGAUCCCUAGCUGGUCUGAGAGGAUGACCAGCCACACUGGAACUGAGACACGGUCCAGACUCCUACGGGAGGCAGCAGUGGGGAAUAUUGCACAAUGGGCGCAAGCCUGAUGCAGCCAUGCCGCGUGUAUGAAGAAGGCCUUCGGGUUGUAAAGUACUUUCAGCGGGGAGGAAGGCGGUGAGGUUAAUAACCUCAUUGAUUGACGUUACCCGCAGAAGAAGCACCGGCUAACUCCGUGCCAGCAGCCGCGGUAAUACGGAGGGUGCAAGCGUUAAUCGGAAUUACUGGGCGUAAAGCGCACGCAGGCGGUCUGUCAAGUCGGAUGUGAAAUCCCCGGGCUUAACCUGGGAACUGCAUUCGAAACUGGCAGGCUAGAGUCUUGUAGAGGGGGGUAGAAUUCCAGGUGUAGCGGUGAAAUGCGUAGAGAUCUGGAGGAAUACCGGUGGCGAAGGCGGCCCCCUGGACAGAGACUGACGCUCAGGUGCGAAAGCGUGGGGAGCAAACAGGAUUAGAUACCCUGGUAGUCCACGCCGUAAACGAUGUCGACUUGGAGGUUGUUCCCCUGAGGAGUGGCUUCCGGAGCUAACGCGUUAAGUCGACCGCCUGGGGAGUACGGCCGCAAGGUUAAAACUCAAAUGAAUUGACGGGGGCCCGCACAAGCGGUGGAGCAUGUGGUUUAAUUCGAUGCAACGCGAAGAACCUUACCUGGCCUUGACAUCCAGAGAACUUAGCAGAGAUGCUUUGGUGCCUUCGGGAACUCUGAGACAGGUGCUGCAUGGCUGUCGUCAGCUCGUGUGUGAAUGUUGGGGUAAGUCCCGCACGAGCGCACCUUAUCUUUGUUGCCAGCGAUUCGGUCGGGAACUCAAAGGAGACUGCCCGGUG
rnacentral:rRNA from 1 species